UCCGAUGUGGUGUAGUGGCUAUCAUACUGCGCUUUCAUGGUCUAACAUCCAGCAAAGUGCCGCAGGGAUCGGGGUUCGAUUCCCCGCAUCGGAG